AAGAGGAGAUUUUUUCCCCUUAGACAUAGUAUUUGUUGGGUAUAAAAUACCCCCAGCCGAAGUUCGAAUCAGGAGUGAUCCUCUCGGGACUCUGCCGGCGUCCGACCUUGGGCGACAUCUUUCCGAACCUCUCCGACGGUCGAGCUUCCGCAAUAUUCCCAAGUUUCCCCGACGGACGAACUCCUGCCGCAUCUCCCGGGCUUCUCCAGUGAUAAGCUUCUUCGGUUGUCCAUCGGGCUGCUCCAAGUGCUCUCUAGAUUCUACCAUCGGCCGAUCUCCUACAAGGGUCAACCGUUCUCCGGACCCCUUCCGGAUCUUUUCCGACAGGAUUCGAUCGACUCCAAUUCGAGUUUCUUCCAGAACUACUCAGUUCGCCAGUGGCCGAACUUUCCCAACAG
rnacentral:lncRNA from 1 species